ensembl:lncRNA
UUUUUUCUUUUUUUUAGGGCCACACCUGCAUUACAUGGGAGUUCCCAGGCUAAGGGUCGAUCAGAGCUGCAGCUGCCGGCCACAGCCACAGCCACGGCCACUCGGGAUCUGAGCCGUGUCUGCGACCUACACCGGAACUCACAGAAAUGCUGGAUCCUUAACCCACUGAGCGAGGCCAGGGAUCAAACCCGCAUCCUCAUGGACACUAGUCAGGUUCAUUUCUGCUGCGUCACAACGGGAACUCCCAGGACUGUCUUAAUUAUGGUGAAAAGGAGCAAAUACUGAGGUCGUACUAGGUGCUGGGCCCCCCAUCCCACCCCUACUUCCAGCCAGGUCAGAAUUUCCAUCUGCAUCUUCCCAACGGGGAAACCGAGGCUCCAGGAGCUGCCCCACCCGCUGCACAGCGGUAAGUGGAAGUGAGGCGGUCAAGCCCAGCUCUGGCCCAGAGGCCACAGACCUCAUGCUGUCACUCCAGCUACCCCGCCAUCAAGUCAUCAUUAUUGUAAAAGCACCUACUGCAGCGGAAGCCGGUCCCCAGAGGCCGCCACUCUGCCCCGGCCCUGGAGAGUCACAGGAGGCCAGUAACAGAAGGGGCUGUGGGUGCAGCGUUAGAAGUGCCUCCAGCGGCGGUGAUGCUGCAGACAGGCCUGGCGCGGUGACCUCACCGUGGCGCAGAUGCGAUGCCAGGAACUGGAUUGAUCGUGGCAUUGGGGAGGAUGCCAGCUGAGCCAUCGCGAGGGGCCGGGCCCCAUGCUCUGCAACUACACGGGCCACCACAGAACCUGACAACGGUCCCUGGGGGGAGCUCUGGGUGGGACAGCGCACGGUCACGUAGGCAGUUGGGACGGAGGCAGGAGGUGGCCCUCUGGCCUCUCCUUCUCACCCCAGCACCCCUGGCCUCCUGCAGGUGUCAGCCCCAGACCUGCGCCUGAUAGCGAUGGCGGGGGCGGGGCUGGGGGGGGCGCUGCUGUCAGAUUGGCCAGGUCUCUCUCUCCAGGUGUCACAGGGGGAAGGAACCACACAGACAGGGCAGGUAGAGGGGGCGGAAGUGGGAGGGGGCCUGGAAGGCAGGAGCCAGAGCCCCAGGGGCAGAGAAGGGCUGGGGGCCACCAGGGAAGGCCCUGCACUUAAGAUUCCCACCCCAGGUUCCUGGCUGGCUUUUCCCCGGGCACUUAAACUUGAGCCUGAGGAAAGUCAGUGACCUCUGCCCCAGCCACCUUAUAAGCAACAGGGCUACCCCCCUGCUCCCUGUGUCCUGCUCCCCUGACCUGGGACGGAGGACUGCCCUUCCCCCACUCAUUAUGCACCCACACCCCCAUUGCUGGGACCCGUAAGUGAUGAAUCUUGUGACUUUGCUUCCCUUGUGUGAGUGUCCUGAAACCGCGCUGUCAACCACCCUCCUCGGGGUUUUCAUGUCCCCAGAGAGGGAGCUCGGAUGCAGAGGGAGCUCCCGCCAGCCACAGCCCCCCAACACACACCUCUUGGGGUUCAGACCUCCUGACUGCUCCCCACCCCACGCUCCACCCCAGGCCCUGUGGGGCCCUGUCUGAGCCUCCCAUCUGAUGCCACCAUCACGAGUGGGCACCUCUCAGGGUGGCGGCAGGGGUGGAGGAGACGCGGGUAUGGAAUGAGAGGUGAGGGCCUUUGGGAACCCCUCCUUCCCGGGACGCUCAGAUGAUGCGUGUCCACAGCUCUGGGCUCUGGGAGCCCGGGGCUGGGGUCACAGGUGGCUUGUGGAGCUGCAAAGCCCCAGGCCCUGCCCCCAGCCUGUCGCUAGGACCCUCCUGGAUCUGCAUCAGUUGGGGACCCCUUCUCUGGGGGCGGGUUAGCCAGGCCGGCCUCAGGUCCAGGCGCCCUCCUCCCAACUCCCUACCGCGGGUGCAGUCACCCGCCCCUCCCCACAGCUCACUGCCCCAUCCUCCCGAGCCUCAGUCUCUCCAUCUGCGAGAUGGGACCCGGGGCCAGCGCGGGGUCCAGGCGCGGCUGCUCUGCACGCCCAAGAGGUGGGGCCUGGGCAGAUCCACAGCCGACAGGGCCGAGGCCAGGAGCUGGCACGGGGAGAGCAUCCUGCCGCCUAUUCCCCUGGAGCCGUCCUCUGGGGCACUGGGCGUGGGCGCGUGGCCCAGCCCAGCCCCCGGCCUGACCUCCAGGGGCUCCCCACUCAGGUCUCGGCAGUUUCUGUUUUUGAGUCACAGAAGCCCGGGCUCUUUUUCUGUGGUUCCCGUCGUGGGUGGCAGAUGGGGUGGGGACCGAGGUGAGAAGUCAGCCUGCGAGCUGGGGCUGCCAUCGCUGCAAAAGCCACAUGGCUCCGCCUGCGACUGGCAUGGCCCAUGGGGUUUCCCCAGACUAGGGCAGGUGACAGGAGAGGGUUCUCCUAGGAUUCUCCACAGGGAUGAGACAGGGGGUGAUUGGUCCCAAGCUCCCAGCCCCUUACCAGGAGCCCAGGCUGUCAGCUCACGGUUGUCUGAGGGGAGAGGAGGAGGGGUCAAGAGCCUCCUUGAAGCCUCCUGAGCAAAUGAAAGCGGAAGCCAACUUACUUCCUGGUGGCCAGGCCAGUUCAUGUCCAUGUGCUUGUCCUUCACUGACUGUGAUGACCUUUCCCUCAGCCUGGUCUGGUCGGCCAACUCCUAUUCAUCCUGCAAAACCCUGCUCAGGGUGACCUCACCCACCACAGUCUUCUCCACAAGGCCCACCUUAGCAUACACACCACUGCACUUGGAGGACAGUACUGUCUAGGCCACGUGCUGCAGGGACGCAUUCCCCAUCCUGCUGGGGGUGCAGCCCUAAAGAGCGUGGGGGGACAAAGAAAGAACUUAUUUCUUGAGAACCUAAUACGCACCAGAACCUGAGCUAAGCGCUGGAUUUGAAUGUGACCUUGGCCACAUCUUUUACCCUGGGGCAGCCUCAGUGCCUGUGUGGCUUCAUAACUGCUCCAGGAGGAAGCUAGAAUAUGGUGGAGGGAGAGGAGAUGCCCUCAUUUUCCCAGGGCGGGGGGUGGGGGCCCACACUGGGCAUAUGUCUAGUCCCUGCCCCCGGGGGGCCCAGCCCACACCGCCUUCUCUGCCCACCUUGUCUGCCCAGCUCAAAAUCCACAGGGGCUGAGGACCCUCGCCCACUCCUGGUGAAGCAGGGGAAGGAGAAGGGUGGGCCCUGGACGGGGCCUGGUGGGCUCCCUCCUUCCCCUCCCCUCCCCUUGCCUACAGCACAGAGUCCCCUGUGUUAGCACAUGCAGGAGGGAAACCCACCUGAGCUCAGGGACAUUCCCCACCCACACCCCCUCCUGGAGGCCCCUUUAGCCUCGGGGUCAACGGCCGGCCACCUUGACCCAUUAGCACAGAGGUCAAGGUAAAGCAGAAGACACCUCACCUGCACUGCCCCCCCCCCAUGUGUUCCCCACCUGCCUCCAUCCUCAGCUGGCCAGAGCCAGAGCAUCCUGAGCCCGCCCUCUCUCGGACCCACCUGCUUUGUUUCUGCCACCCCUGGGGCCGCUCCCACAUGCCCUCGGGUCCACACUGGGGGUGUCCGCAUUAAUCUCCUUUUGGCUGCUUGAAGCUCUUUCCAGCUGGACUUGUGAAAUCAACGUCUUUCCCUCUUCUGUGGGUUCUCCCCGGAGCCCUGUCCCCAGGUGCCUCCUGUGCUGGGCCAGGGCCUCCCUGGGCUUCCCUUGCGACCGCUCCAUCACGCCACGGGGCCGCGUCCCCGCAGCCUCCCCCAUCAGACUGUGUCAGGGCCGUCAGAGGGAGGAGGGCUCUCUCCAACAGACUGAGUGUCCCGGCGGCAGGCGCUGUGUCUCUGGCUCAGGUGCCUCGAAGGCACAAGACUCUCAACACACAGACCACGUCAUCACAUGCACUCACGAAAACUGGAAAAACACAAAAAAGCUGGAAGAGGAAACAAACCACCAGAGAAAGUUUUUGCUGCCAUCAGGGUGCAUCUCCUUCCUGUCUCUUUUUUUCUUUUUAGGGCCGCACUUACGGCAUAUGGAAGUUUCCAGGCUAGGGGGUGAAUUAGAGCUGCCACUGCCGGCCUGGGCCACAGCCAGAGUAGCAUCAAAUCUGAGCUGCAUCUGUGACCUGCACCCCAGCUUAUGGCAACGCUGGCUCCUUAACCCACGGAGUGAGGCCAGGGAUUGAACCUGCAUCCUCACAGGUACUAUGUUGGGUUCUUAACCUGCUGAGCCACAACAGGAACGCCUCCACUCUUUUCUCCGUGCCGGGCUGUGAGUGCUGGUCCGACGCACGCGGGAGCACCCCAAGAACGCAAGCACCUGCUGUCCUCCUGCUUCCCUCGCACGAAUAAACGCUGGGUUUGCCUACCGAACGUCAGGCCUGAGAGAGGGCCUGUGUCACUUGGGGUCACAAAGCUCCCACAGGAGGAGGCCAGCACUGCCAACCCCUGGGGCUCUGCACCACCACAGUCUCAGCCCCCCAAAUCCUAUUUCCCAUUCUCCUAGCUGAACGUCUGUGAAGGCCAGGAAAACGGGGGUGCUGUCUGCAGAGCCAGUUCACAGAAACUCAGUGAGUUCAUACCUUCCAGGUUUGCUCCUGCCCACACGUCCCUAAAACCCCAGCCGGCCCUGCCAUCCAUCACCCCCUCUCCCGCUCCUUGGAUGCUGUUGGUCCCACCCCGUGCCAGCCCGGAGGUCCAGAGGUAAAUCCAGCGGAGUUCUGCCCUCAGAGCCCCGGGCUGGAGGGAGGGCCACUGGGGACAGAGCCAGUGCUGGGUCCCAGAUAAAAGUCAGGCGUCCAGGGUAAGGGGGCAGGGGAGGGGUGCCUCCCGCCCUGCCUGGGGAGGCACAGGGCAGCCAGGAGGGCUUUUUGGAGGAGGAGGGCAUCCUCCUGCAGGGACUUAAAGAACCAACAAAAGCCCCCAGGGAAGAAGGGAGGGAAAAGAAUUCGGGACAGAGGAAGGGCGGAGGAAGCAGGAGGAGGGCAAGGCAGAGGGCGAGACGAACCCAUGCCCAGGCAGGCCGGGAAGGGGAGAUGACCCCUGGCCACCCACACAGCUCAGGGCCCAGCUCCCUUCAGAACCGAGUUUGGAAAAAGCUUCCACCUUCAACCGUCGGAUCUGCAAGGGCUGCUGGGGCACGGGCGCCGGAUUAUCUCCUGCGGAGAACCAACCGCGAGGCCUGCCUGCCGGGACCUCUCUAGAAACCAGACGGUUCCAAAGGCCGAUGGAUGCCCGGCAGGCCGACGUGGAGAUGCGACCGAGAACAAGGACAGAGGUGUGAUCCACACUCGAGAAAGCAGCCUCUACCCCCCGUGCACAAAUCAAUCAGAGACCGAGGCUCAGAGAGGCGGAGCAACCCGCCAGCGGUCACAGAGCACGGGUGCCAGGAGCGGGUGGGCCCAGGCGCAGAAGCCAGCCCUCUGCGGCUCCGAGGGCACCCCCAACCACGGCCUGCGUGUCCCCCACGGGCCCC